GAUGAACGCUGGCGGCGUGCUUAAUACAUGCAAGUCGAACGAAGAGUCUUUGUAGCAAUACGAGGGUGUUCCUAGUGGCGAAUGGGUGCGUAACACGUAGGCGACCUGCCCCGGAGAGGGGGAUAACGUCCCGAAAGGGAUGCUAAUACCCCGUACGUUCCACAGGGUUAGAGGCCUGUGGAGGAAAGGCGCAAGCCGCUCCGGGGGGGGCCUGCGGCCCAUCAGCUUGUUGGUAGGGUCACGGCCGACCAAGGCGGCGACGGGUAGGGGGCCUGAGAGGGUGUCCCCCCACACUGGCACUGAAACACGGGCCAGACACCUACGGUUGGCAGCAGUAGGGAAUAUUGCAAAAUGGGCGAAAGCCUGAUGCAGCAACGCCGCGUGCGCGAUGAAGGCCUUCGGGUCGUAAAGCGCUUUUCGGGGGGAUGAGGAAGGAAAGUACCCCCGGAAUAAGUCUCGGCUAACUACGUGCCAGCCGCCGCGGUAAGAC
rnacentral:rRNA from 1 species